rnacentral:lncRNA from 1 species
GAGGCAGCCAUGACUGGCCACUUCAUGUGCUCCUGGAGAAGGGCUUGCACCAGCCGUUUUCAGGAAAGUCAAGCAGCUGUUGACUCCUGAGUCUGGGUGAAUUUGUGUGAAGAGCAUAAGGCGCUGUUUCUUAACCAAAACGCUUCCUCUUGCAGUGCAGAUGGGAUGUGCUUCUCCACAGGAGGCCCCACGGCUUCCCCACCCCUCAGAGGAGCGCCGUGCGUGCGUCUGUGUGGAGGAUUGGCAGCUCCUGCAGUCGGCCCUUGGUCCUAUUUGGCGACGCCUCUGCCUUCCCCUUAAUUAUACAGUCAUGAGCCGCCCUGGAAUCACGGCAGCUCCGGAUGGAUCCUGGAUGCCAGAAUGCAGCCUCAGCACGGGGCUGCAGGACAGGAGUGAGCGAGGGGCUGCAGAGCCGGCGGCCGCGGUGGGCACCAUGGAGGGGGCUGCCCUGGGCAGCACGGGCAUGAGUCUCAAGGCCCAGGUUUGAGUAACAGGUGUUGAGAGCUUACUUACUUUUCCUGAGACACAGUUUCCUCAUCUCGAGAGCACGGAAAAUCAUUCUAACUUCAGAGGAUUGUUGUGAAAGUUAAAUGAGAUUAAAGAGGUAAAGCCCAUGACGUGCUUAGCUCGUGCUUGGCUCUUGGUCAAUGCCAGUUAGCGCUGCAUUUUCUCCCCUCUCCCUCCCUCCUUCUCUCUUUCUUUUCUUCUAUUCUCCAUUCCUGUUUUCUCCCCCACCCCACUCCCCAAAGCUCUGCGUUGAGAACCAGAUGCUGUCUGGUGGGUUAGGGCCAGAGGAGGAAAAGCUGCCCGCCGUGGGCUGCACCCAUACCCUCUUCAUUCCAAUGACAUGAGGGGAGGGGAAAGGACAGAGGUAGACUGUCCUCCCCUACCUCCUCCUAAUACAAAUGGAAUUCCUGGAACUGGAAAACAAAGAAUACCCCCAUAAAAAUAAGACAGUACUUCUGGUGCGGUGUAAUAAAGGGGAAAGUAACCCUCAAUGUCAGGAAACUCCGCACCUCCCAGCUCAUAUUUGUGUGGAGGAAAAGUUAAAUAUUAAUUUGGACUCAACUGAAUGUGGACACAAACAAUGGUCACCAAGUCCCGGAACAGGUUGUGUGAGCCUCUUCAGGGGUUCAUCCAGCGCUGUUUUGGAGAAAUCUCUAUUUCAAUUUAUUCCUAUACGUUAGUUACUGAAAAACAACAGACAAUCGCAAAAGCAAGUUGCCCGUUUUGUGUUCCUUGAGCCCAAUCAUGAAGUGCCGUCGUGACUGGGCCUCAUGACAAACAACUUGUAACAAGUAACAACAGAGCUCAGGUCCCAGACCGCACUGAAGCUCUGUGAGACCUCUCCUCAUCUGUGCAUGAACGAGUGUCUGACUCUGGAGCCCAGCCUGCUGCUUCCCAGUCUGGUGGUGAAUCCUCCGUAGUCUGAUGGAGGUUUGCUCUUGUUGCCCAGGCUGGAGUGCAAUGGCACAAUCUCGGCUCACUGCAGCCCCUGCCUCCCAGGCUCAAGCAAUUCUUACGCCUCAGCCUCCUGAGUAGAUGGAACUACAGGGCAUGGACUGGAACUCCCAAUACCCCUGACAUGGGCUGAGUCAACGUGGUCAUGAACAUGUGACAGGAGGCAGCAGAAGUUGCAGAGAAGAGUGAGGCACGUUUGAAAAAGGCUGAAAAAUGUUUCUGUCCAGGCAAGGGUGUGUGCUGAAUGACUCAAGGAUUUUUUGGAGAGAAUUGGAGUGUCUCACCAGAGGAGACCACGUCUGAAGGGCUUUGCAUCCCUCCUUGGACAUGUCUAAUACCUAACACUCAGAAAGCAUCCAGUAAAUAUUCGUGGAAAGAAAGGAGUGGAGAAGGGGAGAAAGGGGAAAGGGAGUAGGCGAGAGAGAAGAAAGACUCUGCUUCUUGCCCAGGGCCUGGCAUGGGGCGGAGGCAAAGCAGUGGGGUCCUCAGCUAUGUCCCACUGUGAGUGCACAGCGAGUCCUGACCUUCAGAGGGUGCAGCCCGAGGGGCCCUGGCCUGUCUGAAGGGUGCGCCAGCCGAGUGGCCUGCUCUGACCACCAGGCUCACCCAUGACUACCUGGGUGGCUACAGCCAGUUCCUGACAAUGAGUACAGCACUCAGUUAUCGGGGCCCUUCCACCCACACGCUGUCCACUUCCUGGGGUACUGCUGUGGGCAUGUGAGUGCUUGCUCCCCGGGGCACUGCUGUGGGCAUGCGAUGCUUGCUCCCCGGGGCACUGCUGUGGACAUGUGAUAGCUUGCUCCCCAGCUCCACUAGUGACACUGGCGGCCCCUCGCUGGGGCCUUCCCCGCCUGCUCCGCUCCAUUACCGCUGCCGGGCUCCUCACGUCUCUCCUUGCUGCUUCCUGCACUGGGGUGAGGAGAGUGGGGCUGGUCCCCUUGAGACCGGAGAAGCUCCAGGCUUUUAAGGAAAACUGCCAGGGACGAAGAGAAGAUAUCACUUCCCCACGUGGUUGGCUUCCAGAUUCAGAAGGAAUGUCUGUCCUUGUGGAUUCCGUACCAGAUGACCCCAGAUGCUGCCUCAGUACUAGGUCCCUGUGGCUCUGGAGCCUUUGCUGGGUCUGGGCAGUGUCUCUUCCUCUCCAGUUCAUCCUUGGGUCUCUUCACCCUUGCCAGGGGCAGGCUUCCUGGUGAGAGGUCGACCUCCUGCAUGAAGGCUCUCAAGAGGCCAGUUCAAAGCCAAGCUCCGGGUCUGUGCCUGUGGGGCUGCUCCUCGAUCAGGAGAUGGUCACUCCCCUCCUGGUCUGUAUCUGUGGGAUUCUCCUCCAUCAGGAGAUGGUCUCUCCCCUCCUGGUCUAUACCCGUGGGAUUCUCCUCCAUCAGGAGAUGGUCACUCCCCAUCCUGGUCUAUACCCGUGGGAUUCUCCUCCAUUAGAUGGUCACUCCCCUCCUGGUCUAUUCCCGUGGGGCUGCUCCUCCAUCAGGAGGUGGUCACUCCCCCUCCUGGUCUAUACCCGUGGGGCUGCUCCUCCAUCAGGAGAUAGUCACUCCCCCUCCUGGUCUAUACCCGUGGGAUUCUCCUCCAUCUGGAGAUGGUCACUCCCCUCCUGGUCUAUACCCAUGGGAUUCUCCUCCAUCUGGAGAUGGUCACUCCCCUCCUGGUCUAUACCCAUGGGAUUCUCCUCCAUCUGGAGAUAGUCACUCCCCUCCUGGUCUAUACCCGUGGGGUUCUCCUCAAUCAGGAGGUGGUCACUCCCCUCCUGGUCUAUACCCGUGGGAUUCUCCUCCAUCAGGAGAUGGUCACUCUCCCUCCUGGUCUAUACCCGUGGGGCUGCUCCUCCAUCAGGAGAUGGUCACUCCCCUCCUGGUCUAUACCUGUGGGAUUCUCCUCCCUCAGAAGAUGGUCACUCCCCCUCCUGGUCUAUACCCAUGGGAUUCUCCUCCCUCAGAAGAUGGUCACUCCCCCUCCUGGUCUAUACCCGUGGGGCUGCUCCUCCAUCAGGAGAUGGUCACUCUCCCUCUCGGUUGCUCAGUCCAAAAACAACCUCUCUGGAAAACUGCGUGGAAUUUUUUUUUAAAGAAUUGAAACUAGAACUAGCAUUUGAUCCAGCCAUCUGCCUACUGGGAAUACACCCAAAGAAAAAUAAAUCAUUAUAUCAG